rnacentral:ncRNA from 1 species
UUAUAUUGCAGAUAGGAAAGGGAUUCACCAAAAAUGGUUUGUCCUUUUUUUAUGUCAAUUUCUAUGCUGUAUAUCUGUGUCACUGAAUGAAAGUUUAAGCGUUAUAUAAGAACGCCAGCCACAGAGCCACCAAUCAGGUGGUAUUUUUUUUG